AUCCCUUGACAUGGCAUGUUACCUCGAGAGAUCGGGGAUCCUCUUCGGAGGCGUGCACACAGGUGCUGCAUGGCUGUCGUCAGCUCGUGUCGUGAGAUGUUGGGUUAAGUCCCGCAACGAGCGCAACCCACGUCCUUAGUUGCCAUCAUUCAGUUGGGCACUCUAGGGAGACUGCCGGUGAUAAGCCGCGAGGAAGGUGUGGAUGACGUCAAGUCCUCAUGG
rnacentral:rRNA from 1 species